AUGAAACCAUCAAACCCAGCUGGACUGGCUUGCACGAUCAUUGAUAAUUGAGAAGUUCCAUGAUUUGCUUUCUGAAAACCCAGGACCCAGAGAAACCAGGGAAAUCAUUCAGUCUGAGUCUGAAACCUUGAGAAUCAAUGGAGCUAUUGAUGAUCUCCCGCAGCCUAGCAGGCUGCUCUCCUCUUCUUACACAACUGGAGAUGGCCUUGAACUUCUGGUCUCUGUCCUCCAUUUCCCAAGUCCUGGGAUCGCAGGCUUGCAGCCCCACAUCUGGGGCUUGCUGUUGAGGUUUCUGCAUGUUAGAUGCUCUUCACAGCCCAAGAGAACAGGAGGCCCCUUUGGCUCAGGGUGAGCUGGGCUGCCGAGUCAAGGUGGAGACCAGCUAAGCUCCAAACCCAGAAAAAUGUGGAACUUGUUCAACGUAAUCUACCGAGCCCUCCCUAAACCAGGGAAGCUGUGGUGCACUAGUAGGGAGUGAGGGACAAUUGUUAGCAUCUUCUGGAUUAGAUGCAUCUCAGAAAACCAAGAGCAGCAGCAAUAGCAACAACAGCAACAGCAAUAGCAACAACAGCAACAAGAGCAACAGCAACAACAAGAGAAAACAACAGCAACAACAACAACACAACAGCAACAGCAGCACCAACAGUAACGACAGUAACAACAACAGCCAAAAACCAAAAAUGGCUUGAUUUAGCCCAGGAUCCAGUGAGGUCAAAUGACAUGUGGAAGGAUGCUGUAAAUGACCAGCUGCUUGUCAGCUGCCAGCUUGCCAUACUUAUUCUGACAACGAUAGGCCCUCCGUUCCAUUCUCUCCUCACUAAGAACCUGUACCAGUCUAGCCAGGCCUCCAUAACCAAAUACCACAGGCUGGGUCAUUUACCCAAGAGAAAUGCUGGACUCCAACUUUUAGAGAUUUGGGAUUCUGUGAUCAGGCUGCUGCCAGUUUUCUAGUCCAAAAUCUACAGAGGAGGAAAGCCAACCUUUAAACGCAUCUGACAUAAGAAGAUACUACUGUUCCAGUUAAUGUGUCUGGCUCAAAUGACUCUUGACCAAAGGAUGUGGUGACUUGCUACCCACUCAGCCCUCUGAGCCCACUCAGAAAAUAAGGCACAAACCCAUUUUUCACUGUAAAGCUCACAUUCUCUUGGUGAGGUGACUGCUCAAGACGCCGUUGCACACCUGUCAGGAAACAAGGGAAUAAGCAUGAACUGAAGCGAUCACAGGAGCUGGAGAGAAACCUGGGAAACAGGAGGACAAAUUUGUGAGCUACCAAGAUGCUGGGUUUGUUUCUCCCAUGCCCCAGAUCCGCUGACCUAGAGGAGGGCUCAGCUUGAGUGUUGGGGGGCUACAAGCCUGACAACAAAGAGCUAUGCUGGCAACAAAGAGCUCAUCCGAUUGCUUUUGAGGAGGGGAAGGGGUGGAACAAGUCUGUGUGUGAUGGAUCUCCAGAGGCUCCUCUGUGGAAAUUCAUCCUGGGUAGGGAGAACUCCAGCUGGAAGAGAUUGCACAGGGAUUUAGUAGUCUAGGUGCACAGGAGUCUGGACGUGCUCUACCCUUAGAACCCGCUCCCAGCUCGGCCUCCUCUGUUCUCUGUAGGGAGAAAAAGUAGGAGGCACCGAGACUUUUAUAAGGCAUGGUGGCUGCUCUGGGACUUCUAAGGCUGUGCGUAUAAUGAUGAGAAGGUAGGUCUUUUGUUCCUCCCAUCACUGGAGGCUACUCCUGAGCUUGGGCAUCCUGACAACACCCACUUUCAUGCGACAAGGUUUAAAAGAGGCUGGUGGCACCAAGUGUAGCAGAGACACAUCCAAGAGGAGAAGGUUUUAUGUAUUAGCAUCUAGUUUUUGUGUCCAAGGACUAAAGACAUAUCUCAGAAGGAGCUCAGGGGUGGGCUGCAUUCCUCUGUCAAAGGCAGAGAAAAGGCAAUGGGUGACCCUCCCAUCCCCCUGCCACUAAGAGAUGGGAGAACUCUCAAGCUUGUUAGUUUUGUGAAUUCAGUGACAAGAGUUAACUCUUGGAGCUUGCUUCCGGAGGUCCACCCAGCGCCCGUAAAUGGAGUAAAUAAAAACUCCACUUGCAAUUCUUUACCAUAUGGAUGAAGUCAGGCCGCACAAAAGGAUGUUUGAAUGACAUUAAUUCAACUCAGUGACAGCAUGUCUGAGCCUGCCAAGCAGAGCUGACAUUGUCUAUUGGCUAUCAUUGCUACUGCCACCUCCUCCUUAGUUCAGUAAUCUAAUUUGAGACUGCAGCCCUGAAGAUGUCAGGGGCAAAUCUGUAGAGCCCAAGUCAGGGGAUCGAGGUUCCACGCCACCACUCGCUGCAUUCAGAGAUGGGCACACCACCCAGCUUUGAGAAGUGGAAGGUGUAAAGAAGUCUUACUGGAAGCUUCUGAGAGGGACUGUACUGUUCUUGAAGAUGACACGCUGUUGCCUUCUGGCAGGGUUAGAAAUUGCAUAACUAGAUUCUCCUGUCCAGAAUCUAUGGGUGUGGCAGUCCUGGGGAUGAAGCUAGCCUGCUAAGAGAGCAGACAGUGAAACAGGAACAGUCCACAAUCCUCCCCGACUUCCUCAGUUGGUGGAUGGACCAACUCCAGCCUCUUGACCUUGGGACUUCUUGCUAAAUGAAACAAUAAAUGUCCUUAUCGUUUC
ensembl:lincRNA Gm43251 predicted gene 43251